rnacentral:lncRNA from 1 species
ACCCAGCCCACACAGUAUCGGCUGGACCUGGGCCAAUGCCUUUCUGAUGAAAGGCUGCUGGGUUCGUUUGAUUCGGGCUCGACCUUCGUGAGGUUGAGAAGUGCAGACUUGCGCCGUUUAUUUUAAGGCAAUGGUUUGCCAAUUGUAAGGAGACAGUUCAUCAAAAGGACAUGAAAAUAACUAACAUGGAUAGUUCUAUGUAUUCAAGGACCUGCUAACCAUAUAAAACCUAAGAUACAACCUACUGCAUUGGACACCCUUUUAUCUAUCAACCUACAUAUACAAACUAGCAUUCAAUCACCACAUAUUGACAUCUACUGGGCACACAGGCUACCUUCAGUAUCUAAACAAGAAUGCAAACUAUUACACAUUACAUGAAUAUUUAAUGUAACAAUCUAUGUAUAAAAGACAUUCUUCAGGACUUUCAUUUGUAUUCAUGCUCAAAUUUCCCAAUUACAUUUUUUGACAGUGCAUUGGUUGUGUACCUGGUAUAGAGGACAAAGAAGAAAGGAAUGAUCAGCUUUGCAGUAUGCAGUAAACACAGCAACAGCAGAUACACAGCAACAAUACAGCAACAAAUCAACAAUCCAAGUGUUUUCCACAGCCCACGACAACCAACAAUAUUUCCUAGAACAAAGAAAACCAGCAAAUAGUCGAGCACCAAAUGAGCAAUCCCAGGA